UAAAAUUUUAGCGAUAAUUAACAGAAUAAUCACCCAACCCAAGCAUGAUUGAGUGGCCAGCAUUACGUGGCGAGGGCUCUGCACGUUGGCGCGGAGCGCUUUUGAUUAUUUUGAUUGAACGAUGUUUGAAGUUAUUUUGGCGGACUGAUUGUUAUGAAUGUGAUCGUCACACCACCAUCUGCAAUGAUUAUUGCUUUCGUGCCGCGCCGUAGGCGGUCUGUGGUGGGUAUUGCCAUUCGAAGCGAAUUUCUGUUGAGGCCAUCAUCCGAUGUAAUGAUUGUGCCCGCCAAUAGCUAUCAUG
rnacentral:misc_RNA from 1 species